rnacentral:rRNA from 1 species
AUACGUAGGGGGCGAGCGUUGUCCGGAAUGAUUGGGCGUAAAGGGCGCGUAGGCGGCGCGGUAAGUCUGGAGUGAAAGUCCUGCUUUCAAGGUGGGAAUUGCUUUGGAUACUGCCGAGCUUGAGUGCAGGAGAGGUUAUCGGAAUUCCCGGUGUAGCGGUGAAAUGCGUAGAGAUCGGGAGGAACACCAGUGGCGAAGGCGGGUAACUGGACUGCAACUGACGCUGAGGCGCGAAAGUGUGGGGAGCAAACAGGAUUAGAUACCCUGGUAGUCCACACUGUAAACGAUGAAUGCUAGGUGUAAGAGGUAUCGACCCCUUUUGUGCCGGAGUCAACACAAUAAGCAUUCCGCCUGGGGAGUACGGCCGCAAGGUUGAAACUCAAAGGAAUUGACGGGG